rnacentral:rRNA from 1 species
GAUGAACGCUGGCGGCGUGCCUAAUACAUGCAAGUCGGGCGAACGGACGAGAAGCUUGCUUUUCUGAUGUUAGCGGCGGACGGGUGAGUAACACGUGGAUAACCUACCUAUAAGACUGGGAUAACUUCGGGAAACCGGAGCUAAUACCACAUAAUAUUUUGAACCUCAUGGUUCAAGAGUGAAAGACGGUCUUUCUGUCACUUAUAGAUGGAUCCGCGCUGCAUUAGCUAGUUGGUAAGGUAAUGGCUUACCAAGGCAACGAUGCAUAGCCGACCUGAGAGGGUGAUCGGCCACACUGGAACUGAGACGCGGCCCAGACUCCUACGAGAGGCAGCAGUAGGGAAGCUUCCGCAAUGGGCGAAAGCCUGACGGAGCAACGCCGCGUCAGUGAUGAAGGUCUUCGGAUCGUAAAACUCUGUUAUUAGGGAAGAACAUAUGUGUAAGUAACUGUGCACAUCUUGACGGUACCUAAUCAGAAAGCCACGGCUAACUACGUG